AUGGACCAUGGAUGUUUAAAGAGAACAUGGACCCAAGAAACUGAACAACAAUUAGGAUAAACAGUUUUGCCAUAUUACAUUUUGCACGGCCCAUAGCCUGGAAAAGUCGGCAAGCAGCUACCAGUCUUCGUUUUCAAGCGAAAGAAAGGCUGAGACCCCUGCUGUUCUUUUGGUCCGGGAGAGAUUUGUGUCGAGUGUGAGGCCCUAACCUGAGGAGACAGAGUGCAACGAGUCAUGUGCUUGUCUUGGGAUGAGUGUUUGUACUGGGCAGGAGGGGGGAAACA